rnacentral:rRNA from 1 species
UCGGGAAUUUUGGGCAAUGGGCGAAAGCCUGACCCAGCAACGCCGCGUGCAGGAUGAAGGCGUUAUGCGUUGUAAACUGCUUUUAUAUAGGAAGAAAUAGUCCUUGCGAGGAAAGUUGACGGUACUAUAUGAAUAAGCACCGGCUAACUCCGUGCCAGCAGCCGCGGUAAUACGGAGGGUGCAAGCGUUGUCCGGAUUUAUUGGGUUUAAAGGGUGCGUAGGCGGUUUAUUAAGUCAGUGGUGAAAGACGGUCGCUCAACGAUUGCAGUGCCAUUGAUACUGGUAGACUUGAGUAUGAUUGAGGUAGCUGGAAUGGAUAGUGUAGCGGUGAAAUGCAUAGAUAUUAUCCAGAACACCAAUUGCGUAGGCAAGUUACUAAGUCAUAACUGACGCUGAGGCACGAAAGUGUGGGUAUCAAACAGGAUUAGAUACCCGAGUAGUCCCUGAGCGGGCUGGCAAGGCGCAU